CUCUACUGUAAUGUAACCUGUACAGUGCUGAGUACACCUGUUAGCGCUAUAUAAAUAAAAUAUACAUACACUGUAUACCUACUGCACUUACUGCACCUCCCUCUACUGUAAUAUAACCUGUAAAGUGCUGAGUACACCUGUUAGCGCUAUAUAAAUAAAAUAUACAUACACUGUAUACCUAUUGCACUUACUGUACCUCCCUCUACUGUAAUGUAACCUGUAAAGUGCUGAGUACACC